rnacentral:rRNA from 1 species
GACGAACGCUGGCGGCGUGCCUAAUACAUGCAAGUAGAACGCUGAAGGAGGAGCUUGCUCUUCUGGAUGAGUUGCGAACGGGUGAGUAACGCGUAGGUAACCUGCCUGGUAGCGGGGGAUAACUAUUGGAAACGAUAGCUAAUACCGCAUAACAGUAGAUGUUGCAUGACAUUUACUUAAAAGGUGCAAUUGCAUCACUACCAGAUGGACCUGCGUUGUAUUAGCUAGUUGGUGGGGUAACGGCUCACCAAGGCGACGAUACAUAGCCGACCUGAGAGGGGGGUCGGCCACACUGGGACUGAGACACGGCCCAGACUCCUACGGGGGGCAGCAGGAGGGAAUCUUCGGCAAUGGACGGAAGUCUGACCGAGCAACGCCGCGGGAGUGAAGAAGGGUUUCGGAUCGUAAAGCUCUGUUGUAAGAGAAGAACGAGUGUGAGAGUGGAAAGUUCACACUGUGACGGUAUCUUACCAGAAAGGGACGGCUAACUACGUG